CUAUAACUAUCUAGGUGUGACUGGUGUUCCUACUCCAUUGAGUUUCUAGCUUAUGUUACUGCUGAACAUCUUCUACCAGCUCAAGACUUUCAGGUCAUGUUGCAAAUGGACACGGACUGCUUCAUUACCUGAGGAGUCACAAUUGGUACUCAACAUUGUGCAAUCAUCAGCAAACAUUCCCACUUAUGACCUUAUGAAGGAGGAAACGUCAUUGAUGAAGCAGCUGCGGACGAAUGAGCUGAGUGCACUAUCCUGACAAACGCCUGCAGAGAUGUCCUGAGACUGACUUCUAUGAACUACAAAUAUAUUCCCUUGAGCCAGAAUUCUUCCCGCAUGAUAAUCCCUAAUCUCAUUACAAUGUCAAGGGAUGGAGACGGACAUACGGCUCACUCCUUUUAGUAACUGGCUGUAAAAAUCUACAUGCUGAAGUCUAGGAACAGACCUCCUCGAAGUUUCCUGGGAAAUACUUUCAGCCUGGGUGGAUGAACUGGGAAAAAAAAUGAAAAGAAGGCACAAGAAAGACUUCAAGGACAAGAUAAAUCAAUAUUGGGCAAACUAAACAACAUGCAACAGAUUCAGAG